GGCGAUCAGAUACCGCCCUAGUUCUAACCGUAAACGAUGACAACCAGCGAUUAAUCGGCGUUAAUAUACGACCCGAUUAGCAGCUUCCGGGAAACCAAAGUUUUUCGUUUCCGGGGGAAGUAUGGUUGCAAAGCUGAAACUUAAAGGAAUUGACGGAAGGGCACCACCAGGAGUGGAGCCUGCGGCUUAAUUUGACUCAACACGGGAAAACUCACCCGGCCCGGACACUGUAAGGAUUGACAGACUGAGAGCUCUUUCUUAAUUCAGUGGGUGGUGGUGCAUGGCCGUUCUUAGUUGGUGGAGCGAUUUGUCUGGUUAAUUCCGAUAACGAACGAGACUCUGGCCUAUUAAAUAGACGAGAUAUUACUCUGUAUCUCGCGCUUCUUAGAGGGACAAGCGGCGUCUAGUCGCAUGAAAAAGAGCAAUAACAGGUCUGUGAUGCCCUUAGAUGUCCGGGGCUGCACGCGCGCUACACUGAAAGAAUCAGUGGGCGUUUUACCUGGUUCGGAAGAACCGGGUAACCCAAGUAAUUUCUUUCGUGCUUGGGAUAGGGAAUUGCAAUUAUUUCCCUUAAACGAGGAAUUCCCAGUAAACGCGGGUCAUAAGCUCGUGUUGAUUACGUCCCUGCCCUUUGUA
rnacentral:rRNA from 8 species